AUGCACAUUGAGUACAAGAGAACGUGGUUCAAUGCAGUAGUUACAUCCUUGAGCUUUGGUGGAAAUGAAGUAGCAUGAGAAAUACAGGAAGUGGGUGGGAGAAAUUGGGCUACUUACAAUGGAAGCCUUUGCCUGCAUAGUAACUGGUACUCUGUCUUGAUGCAGAUGUAAAAGAUGAGGUAGAGGAAGCCGAAGAAUGGAGAAUAAAGUAGGAAAUGAUUGGAGUCAGAGAAGCUACCUUGGCCACAGAGAAGUGUGAAAAACCUUUUACUUUUUCUUCCUCCCUCUUCUUUUCAUCUUCCUUUUUGACAGACAUGGUUGCUUAUGGAAGGUAUACACACUAAUGUAGAGCCUUUGCUAUCUCCCAGAUGCUUGCAAUCAGGGAUUAUAACAUUUCAAUACCCCUUCCUUUCCUUAUGUAAACUUUGAAAACCCUGUGUAGGCUACAUCAGUAUCAUGAUGCCCAUUUGACAGAUAAGGGAAGGGCUCAGAGAAGCUACUGUGACUUGCCCAAGGCCACUUAGUGAUUUAUAUAGAGUGGGGACUGCAGCCAGAAUCUCCUACCCUCCUAUUUUGUGAAACAGCACAUUUGUAAAAUAUGUGGCCAUUUUAUAAUAAACGUUUGUAAAAGUUGGUACUGUCUUUCAGAAACACGGGAUCCCAGCCAAUAUAUUAGAUUGCUUUUGGUCAGGUGGAAAACAGAGAAGGUUAUAUAAACAAUUUGUUUGUCUUUAUCUUUUAAUAUUUUGAGAGAGCUUUUGUUUUACUCAAGCAGCCUAUUUUCCAUCAUAAAUGAUGCUGCUCACAAUAAGACUAAAAGCUUCAUUAAGCUAAAAAAAUAGAAGAAAACAGAACAGUUAACAUUUUGUAGAAGCAGUUGUGGAGAAUACAUUAAAGUUAAUGAGUAUUAGGCUACUUAAAUUAUUUACAUGACUUGAAAAUUUUAAAUAUUUGUUUGGAGGUAUAAGCUGGAUCCUGUGCAUGUUCUGAUCAGUCUCCUGGACUGUAGGAUGGUUGACCAUUUUCUCUGGGCUUAGAUUGAGGUAUUUCAAUGGUUUAAGCUUAGGUAAAAUGAAUGGACUCUAGCACACUUCCAGAUGUUUUGUGAAUGUUUCACACCCUGCAUCCCUUUUUUCCUAGAUGUACCCAUUCUGGACCAUUUUAAACUCACGCUGAGCAUUGAAAGCCACACAUCUCCUCUAGGUUUUCCUCUUCUAAUAGAACUCACUGGAGAAGGUACUAAAAUAGAAAACAAACUGGAUGGAUCUAGUACCUUCAUUGUGGGAACUUGGCUUAUGAUUAAGUCAGCACCACAAAACCAGUAGGUGUCCUUCUUGAUCCCCUCCUUCAUCUCUCCCUGAUCACCUCCCAGGCAAGCUCACUGCCAUCCGAACCCAAGAACUGUCUGUAAAGGAACAACAAGUUUUCCCCAAUGAUGCUUGACCUUCACAAUUCAUUUCAAUCUUCAUCUUUGAAAUGUCUGAAGUGGACGAGAGAGAGCUUUCAGGAUAAUUUCCUUUUCUGAGUUACGGAUUAAAGCUGUGGCUCAACUUGCAGAUUUUAGAAGGUAGUGGUUCUUAGCAAUAAAAAAAAAAACUGCCCCUGAUGUGGAGAUGAGCAAGAGAAAUGGAGGAGAAGGUGCCAGAUGAGGAGGCCAUGGAUUGAACUGAAGAGCUCCAGAUCAGUGCUGGGCCCAGUAUAAAUGAAAUAUUUGGAGAUUAGGGAUGCAAUUUCCUUUUGUGUCUAGAGAAGUUUAUCAGGAUGCUGCACACUACUGUUUCCAUUCUAUUCCUCUCCACUCCCAGGUUAUAGCACUAAAGUGUCUAUCAUGUAAGUAUCCAUUAAAAAAGAAAAUUAUUUGCUUUCCUAAUUUAAUGAACAAAAAUUCUGUGAAGUCACAUCUCUGUGGGUUAGGUUCAAAAAUUGAUGAGUAGGGUGAAAAUCAUAUAUAGUUAAAACCACACAUGAAAAUCUUCUAUACUAACAAAAUAUAUAAGGUUUUAAAUGCACAAUCCUAUGUGAUGUUCCUUGUGUGAGAACCACUCAGUUAACUACAGAAAUGAAAGAGAAGCAUAUCAGUAGAUGUCCAGCUAUUUAAAUCCUCUGCCUUUAACAAAAUUCACAUGUGACUAUGAGGAAGGUCGAGAACCCUAAAAGUGCUUCUGCUUGCCUUAAGGGAUGAUUCUACUUUGUUUGAAUAGAAUGCUCCUAUGUUGUAUGACACAUUCAUAUAUUUGUUCAUACUGGUGUUUGUAUGUUACAUCUUCUGUAGACCCUGUGGACCAAUGUUAGGGCUGAGUUUCAUGCACCUGCAGUGUUAUUAUUUAUCAUCAGGUACCAAAUAAAGAUUCAAGUUUGGAGCUAAAAUUUUACAUUUGCAAAUAUGGACAUGCAUUCCUAGGUUUCCUCCUUCCAUGUGAGAGAGAUGAUUGAAUCCACUUUGACCUGGGAAAGUGGUGUGGAAUUCAGGCUGAGGAUGUACACCAGAUGCAAUGUAUGGAUGGUAAUCUCAUGUAAUGAAGGUCUGUUCAGACCAGACCAUGCUUGGGUCAGAGUUUCUGCCUUAACUGUGAUUAGAGUCUAGAUGCUUUAGAGAAUCGUAACCCCUGGUGUGUUAGACGUAAAGAUCUCCUCUGGACAUCCUCCUGGCUCCCUCUCCCCACUCCUGCUGGGGCAGAGGGAUUGAGAGUAGACACAGAGGUGGCUUUAUGGAGAAAGAGCAAGACUUACAUUUAGCCUUGUACUCUUGCAAAUGUCCUUUCAAGAUGUAGUAGGGGUCUUGGCAAUAUAUUCAAAUGAUCCUUUUUUUUUUAAUUUGCAAAAUUAAGAUAUUAUAUUCAUUAUUGGCUAAUAUCAUUCUUUCUUUCUCCCCCACUUCUCCAAACAUGUCUAUUAUUUUAUCGCUGGUGGGGUAGCUGCAGAGAUUUGGGAUCCAUCUAAGAGGAAAUCGCCUUGAGGUUAUAGUAACCUGGAGUUUUGUAGUCGACAGCUACUUUUUUGAAGACGUAAGUUGUUGUUGUCUUGUUGUAGAAGUGGCUUCUAGGAUCCUCCUGCCAUCUGCUGAGAUGAACUGCCUAGUCGGCAAGAGGACACAAGGCUGGAGGCUGUGCUGCCUCGUGAAUCUGCCUUGUGCACAUCACGGGACCACCGUAGGCCCUGGAGGAGAACCUGCAGAGGAAAAGACAAGAGUCAUUCUCUUCUCAGCCUUGAUAGCUAUGCCAUAAAAUUGUUGACAUAUAAGCCCAAAGUGUAGGGAAAAAUACCAAAGAAGAAUGACAGGAGCUUAAUUAAUACAAACAUGAUGCUAUUUUUCUUGAUUUUAUGAUUAUAUGUAUUUUUCAGCUUUCUAUGAUGUGUAUUGUGAUAUAUUUUGUCUUUAUAAAUGUUUACUUUCAUAUGAAAUUUUUGUUCUUGCAACUCUAAAUUCCCUUUUAAAGUGGCUUUCAAAAUUGUAUGAGCUUAAGACCUCAUUUAACCUGCUCUUCUCGAGUCUGGGAUCUUGACCAAAGUAUGAUUCCACAUGCUGCUGAAGAUUUCUUUGCUUGUCUAGGACACUCCUCCAUUGCAUGAACUGGUGUCUUAUGAGCUAUAGAACAUCAAUCUUUGAAAAGCUGCCUGAAAUUGAGCACAGGUGGCAGUGCCCAGGGCCAUGAGGCUUAUAGAGUCUGACUUGUGUACAAAGCCCUCUCUUUGUCCAGAGAAGAAUGAAGAGUAUCCAGUGUGCAGACUAUACACCAGGCAGAGGAAGCUGUUUUCCUUGAGAUUUGUUAGGGAUUAUGGAUGGAGUCCAGUAGCCACUCAGGGUAUCCUCUCCUAGCAGGACUAAUGAUCUCCAGAUCUUUAGGGACUUGGAAGACCUCCCUGGAAAGUCAACAUGAAAAAGAUUCAUGGUGUUGGAUUCUUCUUAAGGCUGCUGAAUAGCUGUACAUCUGUUCUGGAAUGCCAUCUGGAGUCAUUUGAGGCUAAUAAGGUGUACAAUACAGUGAUUCAACACUUCCAUAUAUUACUCAGUGCUCAUCAUGGUCCAGAGCUGUCUGUUUGCACCAACCUGAUGUUCCCUAGGCCCCAGUUCACACAUGCAAGCACAUGGGAGUCACUACAUCCUGGUUCCUAUCUAAUGGGCCCAGGUACUUUGCUAAACUAAAACUAUCUGUCUCCAAACAACUCUCUUAAGGGAGGAGCAAGUCAUAUUUGGAAGAUUAGUGCUGACUAUCAUCUACAGCAAAAACCACUUGAUAAGCUUGAUCCCCACAUGGAGGCUGCGGUGAAUGCUGCUGAUCUUGAGGAGGACCACUGGAGCCCUUGGGAAAGGCAUGCAGCUACUCAUCACUUAGCUUCCUUUAUACGUGCCUGCUUUCUUUCCUUCCCUUGGAAAGCCUGGACAAUUGUUAUUUUAAAGAAUAUUUUCAAAUCUGCUCCUGGACCCUGACAUUUCGAGACAACUAACCUGCUUUGUUUGAGAAAUGCAUUUAAAUAAAUUAAUGAAACCACUGCUCCGAAUGAAUCCUUUCAGGCUGCUUACAGAGAAAUUUUGAAAGGGCAAUAUUAUCACUGACAAAAACUGCAGCAUCUUAGCAAUUUGAUAUCCAGAAAGCUGAGCAGGGAGGCAGAACAUAAUGACAGAGUUUUACCUAUAGCAAAGCCAUUAAAGGUCGCCUACUGUAAGGACAGCUGAAAUGGAAUUUGUUUUCAAAUUAUAUGAUUAAAGAACGUUCCUUGAAGAAAGUAUUAUUAUACAGUGUCAAAAGAAAGAGAGAGAUUAAAAUGGUUGGAAGAUGCAAUCACAGCUGAGAUAAAUUCUACUUUCUCUGUGGUUUGCACACCCUGCAGUCUCUCCGCCUCAAUGGGUUGGGUGGGUUGGAGAAAUUAGCAAGUGUUCCUCUCUCCACACAGAUCUUUCCCCCACUGAGAGUUCUUUUCCCCUCUGGUCUUACUGAAAACACACUGCCUACGAGGGAAACCAUGUGGAGGAAUGGCGGGUUUCUUUGUUAAUGGUGCCCAUUGGAGAGGACAACAUUAAAAAUUCUUUAAAAUGAAAGGGGCAAUUUUGAGUUUCCAAGUCAUUAGGCAGGUUUAUGACUUGUCCAUUUGCAAAGGAGCUGAUGGGACUCUCCACACAACCAUUUCACUUAACAUUGGCUCCUCUCACACAUGGCUUUUUCUCAGCGCCCCCCCCCCCCCAAACCCAGAAUUUCUCUGGUAUAGGCUAACUAAAGCUGCCUUUGGAACACAUGGGGAAAGCCUAUCCUGCCUUCUCUGCAGCACCAUUUUACUUAAAACGUUAUAAGACAUUAAUACGAAUGUAGAGGACUUUUCACAAUGAGCAAGUUAAAUCCAAUAUAAACCUGUUCAAUUACUACUGUCAAUUCUAGAACAUGUAUCAUGCAUAAGUUCUUUAUAAAUAUUAGCUAAGAAUGAACCUAAGAAAUGAUACUGGUUCUUUCUGCAUUUUAAAAAUAUUUGAAUAUAUUCCUUGAAAACAAGCUUUGUCUUUAUGUAAGACUUUCUGUAAUGGACACAGUUUGUUCAAACUUAAACAACAGAGUGGCAGGAGACAGGAUGAUUAUGUAAUUUGACUAUUUGUAAUAUAAUAAAUAAUAAUGUACUAUUGUGAGCUCAGAGCGAUUGACGGUUUCUAAAUAUAUUGUCAAAGUGAUCAUCCAGUUCUUCCUUAUUUGAAAUACCUACUCAGGACAAAAAUACCU